GCUACAGCAGAGAAUCGGACAAGGAGGGAAGAAAGAGAUUGGUGAGGGGGAGAGAGAGAGAAAGAGAGAGAGAGACACAAAGGAAGUGAGUGCAAGAGGAGCCGGCUUAGCAUCUAAACUAUCUCUGGUGAGUGUUCCCCCAGCCUGGCGUAGGGCAUGCCCCAGUUCACUUUCGCCUGCUUCUGUGGUCUCCACGGCUUCUGCAAAAUGAAGAGGAAGAAGGAGGAAGUUCACAGAGAGCGGGAGACGGCGGUGUGAUCAGAACCAGGGCCCCUCCAUCAAGCCCCCAGCAGGUCCCAGGCCUGAUGGUGCCCGCUUCUGGCUGGGGCUUGGAGCAGGAAGCCAUGUGUGUAUCUUUAGUCUUGAUUUAGCCAGUGCUCUUCUCAGCCUGACUCUCACCCGAGGGCAUCAGCCUCCUGUGUGCCUCUCAUCCUCCUCAUGCCCACACCCAUUAGCUUCCAAUUCUCAGCCCUCCUUGGAGAGAGGCCCCAGCCACACAAGGGGGAACCCCAGGACCUGCCGCAUGCCUUCCAGAGACUGAGAAGCCCCAGGGAGGCCAAGGAGCGAAACUUCUUU
rnacentral:sRNA from 1 species